UACGGGGGGAGCAAGCGUUGUUCGGAUUUACUGGGCGUAAAGGGCGGGUAGGCGGCCACCGCAAGUCAGUUGUGAAAUCUCCGGGCUUAACCCGGAAAGGUCAACUGAUACUGCGGGGCUAGAGUGCAGAAGGGGCAACUGGAAUUCUCGGUGUAGCGGUGAAAUGCGUAGAUAUCGGGAGGAACACCAGUGGCGAAGGCGACUUCCUGGCCUGUUCUUGACGCUGAGGCGCGAAAGCUAGGGUAGCAAACGGG
rnacentral:rRNA from 1 species